UACGUAGGGCGCAAGCGUUGUCCGGAAUUAUUGGGCGUAAAGAGCUCGUAGGCGGCUUGUCACGUCGGGUGUGAAAGCCCGGGGCUUAACCCCGGGUCUGCAUUCGAUACGGGCUGGCUAGAGUGUGGUAGGGGAGAUCGGAAUUCCUGGUGUAGCGGUGAAAUGCGCAGAUAUCAGGAGGAACACCGGUGGCGAAGGCGGAUCUCUGGGCAACAACUGACGCUGAGGAGCGAAAGCGUGGGGAGCGAACAGG
rnacentral:rRNA from 1 species